rnacentral:rRNA from 1 species
GAUGAACGCUAGCUACAGGCUUAACACAUGCAAGUCGAGGGGAAACGGCAUUGAGUGCUUGCACUCUUUGGACGUCGACCGGCGCACGGGUGAGUAACGCGUAUCCAACCUUCCCAUUACUGUGGGAUAACCUGCCGAAAGGCAGACUAAUACCGCAUAGUCUUCGAUGACGGCAUCAGAUUUGAAGUAAAGAUUUAUCGGUAAUGGAUGGGGAUGCGUCUGAUUAGCUUGUUGGCGGGGUAACGGCCCACCAAGGCUACGAUCAGUAGGGGUUCUGAGAGGAAGGUCCCCCACAUUGGAACUGAGACACGGUCCAAACUCCUACGGGAGGCAGCAGUGAGGAAGAUUGGUCAAUGGACGGAAGUCUGAACCAGCCAAGUAGCGUGCAGGAUGACGGCCCUAUGGGUUGUAAACUGCUUUUGUAUGGGGAUAAAGUUAGGGACGUGUCCCUAUUUGCAGGUACCAUACGAAUAAGGACCGGCUAAUUCCGUG